rnacentral:RNase_P_RNA from 1 species
GGAGGUUGCCAGGCGGCCGCUUUGGGUAUUUAUUUACCCGCAGAGGAAAGUCCGGACACCACAGAGCAGGGAGGUCGCUAACGGCGACCGGGGGCGACCCCAGGGAUAGGACCACAGAAAAGAGACCGCCUGCGCUUUUUGCCUUCGGGUUCUGAAGCGCGGGUAAGGGUGAAAUGGCGGGGUAAGAGCCCACCAGCCUGCCGGGUGACCGGCAGGGCUAGGCAACCCCCUCCCGAUGCAAAGCCGAAUAGGUUCCGUUUUAAGGGUUGCUCGCCCUUGUUCUUCUCCAGGGAAGGCGGCGAAACGGGUAGGCUGCUUGAGCGUACUGGCAACGGUACGCCUAGAUGAAUGGUCGCCGCUUCGCAACCGCGAAGUUACAGGAUCCGGCUUACGGCAGCCUCCAGCA